rnacentral:rRNA from 1 species
UACGUAGGUGGCAAGCGUUGUCCAGAUUUACUGGGCGUAAAGAGCGCGCAGGCGGUCGUUCAAGUCGCGUGUGAAAGCUCCCGGCUCAACUGGGAGAGGUCCUUGCAUACUGGCGAACUCGAGGGAGGCAGAGGAAAGUGGAAUUCCCGGUGUAGUGGUGAUAUGCGUAGAUAUCGGGAGGAACACCUGUGGCGAAGGCGGCUUUCUGGGCCUUACCUGACGCUGAGACGCGAAAGCGUGGGGAGCGAACCGG